GAGCCGAGCAGGGAUGGAGCGGACUGCGCACGGAGAAGCCCUGGCGAGGUUGCGAAGGACCCGGGUUCAAUUCCCGGCGGCUCCA
rnacentral:tRNA from 1 species